CUACGUGCCAGCAGCCGCGGUAAUACGGAAGGUCCGGGCGUUAUCCGGAUUUAUUGGGUUUAAAGGGAGCGUAGGCCGGAGAUUAAGUGUGUUGUGAAAUGUAGACGCUCAACGUCUGACUUGCAGCGCAUACUGGUUUCCUUGAGUACGCACAACGUUGGCGGAAUUCGUCGUGUAGCGGUGAAAUGCUUAGAUAUGACGAAGAACUCCGAUUGCGAAGGCAGCUGACGGGAGCGCAACUGACGCUUAAGCUCGAAGGUGCGGGUAUCGAACAGGAUUAGAUACCCUGGUAGUCCGCACAGUAAACGAUGGAUGCCCGCUGUUGGUACCUGGUAUCAGCGGCUAAGCGAAAGCAUUAAGCAUCCCACCUGGGGAGUACGCCGGCAACGGUGAAACUCAAAGGAAUUGACGGGGGCCCGCACAAGCGGAGGAACAUGUGGUUUAAUUCGAAGCAACGCGAAGAACCUUACCAGGUCUUGACAUCCCUCUGACCGCUCUAGAGAUAGAGAUUUC
rnacentral:rRNA from 1 species